AGUGAAAACAAAUAUGGCUGAAAUUCUCAAGGAUUUUUAUGCUAUGAAUUUAUUUAUUUUCUUAAUUAUUUUACCAGCAAAAAUUCGUGGUGGUUUUUCAGCGUGUAACUGAUGACGGUUGUCCAAAACCUGUGAACCAUUUAAGAGUUGUCAAGUGCAUUGAACACAUAUAAGAGGAGCAUUUUGAAGAGAGAGACCACCACUCACUUAUGACCCAUAAAUCUAUAGCUUUGAAAGAGGUGGAAGAAUAAUCCGUCAAUGUUGAAGAGAGUGAAUAAAGAAAAGAUGUGAGUUGUUUGAUUUGUUUGUAGAGAUGACAUUGCAAAAGGGCUUAUCGGUUCAGAUUUGAAAAAGAAAUAAAUUAUUCAACCUUCAAAAGUGGGAAAUGGAAUAAAAUCGAACACAUUUAUUCAUUGAUGAUGAUCUUUUUAGAGUUAAUGGACAAAACGAUUUUGCUGGUGAAAUGAAUGCAUAUCUGAAAAUAUGAAGAAAAUAGAGGCAUACAGAUUGUUUUUCAAAGCAGAGGUGUAUAUGAAAACUGGAAAAUUAAUUAGAGAAACAAAUAUCUGAUAUUCUGCAUUAAUAUAUUAAAAUAUGAUUUGGGAUUUUUUUAGUUUUUUAACUAGCAGGUGAUCAACUGCCAGCUGUCCUUCCAAACCAUAUUUGUGUAUCAUGCAUAAAUUUGUGUCUUGUGCAUUGUAAAUACCACCUAAAAAUAAAUGUGAAAUAUACCUUAUGAUAGAAUAUUUCAAAAGAUGUCAUCUAAAUAUUGUAUGGAUACCCAAAAAAGUUAUUAUUUUUUCUUUUCCUAACUUCAGGAACCUUUCAUUUAUGAUUAUAUAUGUACUUUAAAGUGAUGAUAAGACAACCGAAGAGUAUUAUUUAUAUUUCCUU
rnacentral:lncRNA from 1 species